GGGGGGAUAGCUCAGAGGUACAGCGCGUGCUUAGCAUGCAUGAGGUCCUGGGUUCAAUCCCCAGUAUCUCCA
rnacentral:tRNA from 1 species